UGCAAGUAGAGCGAACUGAUUAGAAGCUUGCUUCUAUGACGUUAGCGGCGGCCGGGUGAGUAACACGUGGGUAACCUGCCUGUAAGACUGGGAUAACUUCGGGAAACCGAAGCUAAUACCGGAUAGGAUCUUCUCCUUCAUGGGAGAUGAUUGAAAGAUGGUUUCGGCUAUCACUUACAGAUGGGCCCGCGGUGCAUUAGCUAGUUGGUGAGGUAACGGCUCACCAAGGCAACGAUGCAUAGCCGACCUGAGAGGGUGAUCGGCCACACUGGGACUGAGACACGGCCCAGACUCCUACGGGAGGCAGCAGUAGGGAAUCUUCCGCAAUGGACGAAAGUCUGACGGAGCAACGCCGCGUGAGUGAUGAAGGCUUUCGGGUCGUAAAACUCUGUUGUUAGGGAAGAACAAGUUACUAGAGUAACUGCUUGUACCUUUGACGGGUACCUAAACCAGAAAGCCACGGCUAAACUUACGUGCCCAGCAGCCGCGGUAAAUACGUAGUGUGCGAAGCGUUUAUCCGGAAAUUAUUGGGCGUAUAAGCGCGGCGCAGGGUGGUUUCUUAAGUCUGAUGUGAAAAGCCCACAGGCUCAAACGUGGAGGGUUCAUUG
rnacentral:rRNA from 2 species